rnacentral:hammerhead_ribozyme from 1 species
CUUCCGCUGACCAGUUCCAAAUAGAAUGAUACGCGCGUCCUGAAU